rnacentral:rRNA from 1 species
GGGGGACCUUCGGGCCUCUUGCCAUCGGAUGUGCCCAGAUGGGAUUAGCUAGUAGGUGGGGUAACGGCUCACCUAGGCGACGAUCCCUAGCUGGUCUGAGAGGAUGACCAGCCACACUGGAACUGAGACACGGUCCAGACUCCUACGGGAGGCAGCAGUGGGGAAUAUUGCACAAUGGGCGCAAGCCUGAUGCAGCCAUGCCGCGUGUAUGAAGAAGGCCUUCGGGUUGUAAAGUACUUUCAGCGGGGAGGAAGGGAGUAAAGUUAAUACCUUUGCUCAUUGACGUUACCCGCAGAAGAAGCACCGGCUAACUCCGUGCCAGCAGCCGCGGUAAUACGGAGGGUGCAAGCGUUAAUCGGAAUUACUGGGCGUAAAGCGCACCGCAGGCCGGUUCG